CAGGAUUAGAUACCCUGGUAGUCCACGCCGUAAACGAUGAGUGCUAGGUGUCGGGGGUUCACACCCUCGGUGCCGGAGUUAACGCAUUAAGCACUCCGCCUGGGGAGUACGGUCGCAAGACUGAAACUCAAAGGAAUUGACGGGGACCCGCACAAGCAGCGGAGCAUGUGGUUUAAUUCGAAGCAACGCGAAGAACCUUACCAGGACUUGACAUCCCUUUGACCAGUCCUUAAUCGGACUUUUCCCUUCGGGGACAGAGGAGACAGGUGGUGCAUGGUUGUCGUCAGCUCGUGUCGUGAGAUGUUGGGUUAAGUCCCGCAACGAGCGCAACCCUUGUCUUUAGUUGCCAGCAGGUUAAGCUGGGCACUCUAGAGAGACUGCCGGUGACAAACCGGAGGAAGGUGGGGAUGACGUCAAAUCAUCAUGCCCCUUAUGUUCUGAGCUACAUACGUGCUACAAUGGCUGGUACAACGGGAAGCCAAAGAGUAAUCUGGAGCGAAUCCCAAAAAGCCAGUCCCAGUUCGGAUUGUGGGCUGCAACUCGCCCACAUGAAGUUGGAGUUGCUAGUAAUCGCGGAUCAGAAUGUCGCGGUGAAUGCGUUCCCGGGUCUUGUACACACCGCCCGUCACACCAUGGGAGCUUAGGGCACCCGAAGUCAGCUAUCUAACCGUAAGGAGGAAGCUGCCGAAGGUGAAAUGAGUGACUGGGGUGAAGUCGUAACAAGGUA
rnacentral:rRNA from 1 species